GGCUGGUCCGAAGGCAGUGAGUUAUCUCACUUUAUUCUUAACAGUCAGUUAUCGAUUGAUCUCCUUGUUCUACUACAUCCCCUCCUUUUCAUUACUGUACUUGACUAGUCUGAU
rnacentral:Y_RNA from 1 species